rnacentral:piRNA from 1 species
UGAGAUGCAGCCUGGUCUACAUAACAA